GAUACUGACUCCAGUCUAUACAGCCCUUACUUGUAAGAACCAGAGCUGUGUGGAGAUUCCUGCAUAAGGAUGAGGAUCGGCUGGAAAAGUGAGGAACCAAUGAUGUCCAGGCAUCGAACUUUACAGAGGAAGAUGGAGCUGGAAGAAGACAUGGCGUCUGGACCAGAUGAAGAAGAAAAGGAAAGACAACAGAGAAGAUGUCUCCUGUGAGUCAUUUUAUGUUUGUGUAUUCUCCUGACUGUCCCAUUAAAUCUCUCGUCACUUCUAAGUUUUGUAGUAAUAAUGGAUGACACUGUACCCCAAUUUGAGGCUUUAGCAGUUACAAAACUACAACUCCUAUAACCGCUGAAGCUCUCCAGACAGAAUGGGUGUUGUAGCUUUGCAACAGCUGGAAAGAGUGACUUGAACUGAAGUGAUUUUAGACCAUGCAGCCCAUUUUAUUUUAACGGGGGCCUGACUCCUGUGACACCCACCAAAAAAAAAAAAGGCAACAGUCUAAUAUGCCCAGGCCUA